UGUGGGAGCGGGCUUGCUCGCGAUGGUAUCAACGCGGUGUUAAUGGAUGACCGUGGCGCCAGUAUCGCGAGCAAGCCCGCUCCCACA
rnacentral:misc_RNA from 1 species